CCUACGGGUGGCAGCAGUGGGGAAUCUUGCACAAUGGGGGGAACCCUGAUGCAGCGACGCCGCGUGAGCGAGGAAGUAUUUCGGUAUGUAAAGCUCUAUCAGCAGGGACGAAAAAAGACGGUACCUGACUAAGAAGCCCCGGAUAACUAUGUGCCAGCAGCAGCGGUAAUACGUAGGGGGCAAGCGUUAACCGGUUUUACGGGGUGUAAAGGGAGCGUAGACGGCAAGGCAAGCCCGAUGUGAAAGGGCAGGGCUCAACACUGUGCAUGCUUUUGGAACUGUGGAGCUAGAGUGCAGGAGAGGUAAGGGGAAUUCCUAGUGUAGCGGUGAAAUGCGUAGAGAUUAGGAGGAACACCAGUGGCGAAGGCGGCUUACUGGACUGUAACUGACGUUGAGGCUCGAAAGCGUGGGGAGCAAACAGGAUUAGAUACCCCAGUAGUC
rnacentral:rRNA from 1 species